GCCGCACGGGUCUCUUGCUCGAAUUUUCUACACGAAUCCAGCCGACCGAGGCCGAGCAGACCGCAGCACAAAACUGUGUGCCUACCGUGCCUGUUCUGAUAUUGCGGCGUUCUUUGUGCACCGGUGAAAAUGGAGCAAGUUAAUGCGUUGAAGGAGAAAGGCAAUGCAGCCCUACAGCAAGGAAACUAUACUGAGGCCAUUAAAUUUUAUUCUGAUGCCAUAGCACUCGACCCUACCAACCACGUCCUAUUUAGUAAUCGUUCUGCAGCAUAUGCCAAAGAUGAGCAGUUUGAAUUAGCAUACGCUGACGCUGAGAAAACUGUGACACUGAAGCCAGAUUGGGGGAAGGGUUAUUCUAGGAAAGGAAGUGCAUUGGCAUACCUGGGUAGGACUGAUGAAGCGAUUGAAGCCUAUGAGGAAGGGUUAAGAAUUGACCCUACCAAUGCCCAACUUGCAGAGGGGCUCAAAGAAGUGAAGGCCAAGAACCCACCUUUCCCUGGUGCUGGUUUAAAUGCAGACCUAUUUAGGUCACCUGAUCUCUUUGUGAAGCUCCGCAACAACCCACAAACAAGAGCUUUCUUGGAUGAUCCUGAGUAUUUGAAGAUCGUCACUAAACUUCACACGGAUCCAACAGCUAAACUAGACAGGUUUGAUGAUCCUAGAAUUUUGACAACUGUGUGUGUCCUCCUUGGACUCAAUUUCACCAUGGCAGGUGAUGGUGACAUUCCAAUGGACACUUCUGAACCACCUUCACAACCUACCCCUCGCCCUAAAGAACCUGAAAAGAGAAAAGAGCCAUCUGAGGAUCUUUCUGGCCUCUCACAGAGUCAACUUCUGGCAAGAAAAGAGAAAGAAAGGGGUAAUGAUGCUUACAAGAAAAAAGAUUUUGAGACUGCACUUGCUCACUACAAUAAAGCUGUGGAGCUGGACUCCUCAGACAUUACUUAUUUAAACAACAUUGCAGCUGUUUAUUUUGAACAGAAAGAAUAUCAAAAAUGUAUUGAGCAGUGUGAGAAAGCUAUUGAGAUUGGACGAGAAAAUAGAGCAGAUUUCAAACUAAUUGCUAAGGCAUUCACAAGAAUUGGCAAUGCUUACAAGAAACUUGAGGAAUAUAGUACUGCCAAGGUCUAUUAUGAAAAGUCUAUGUCAGAGCACAGAACUCCUGAAAUUCGCUCGUUGCUCUCAGACAUAGAAAAAAAGAUAAAGGAAAAAGAAGCGAAGGCAUACAUUGACCCAGAGAAAGCUGAAGAAGCAAAAGAGAAAGGAAAUGAACUGUUCAAAAAAGGUGACUAUGCCGAGGCUAUUAAAUAUUAUUCUGAUGCCAUCAAACGCAACCCUGAGGAUAGUAAGUACUACAGUAAUAGAGCGGCAUGUUACACAAAGCUGGCAGCCUUUGAUCUUGGUUUGAAGGACUGUGAGAAGUGCUUGGAGCUGGACCCGAAGUUCAUCAAAGGAUGGAUUCGUAAAGGUAAAAUUUUGCAAGGUAUGCAACAACAAGGUAAAGCCAUCUCUGCAUACCAAAAGGCAUUGGAACUUGACCCUGUGAAUACUGAGGCAAUAGAAGGAUACCGUUCAUGUAGUGUGGCAGUAAAUUCAAAUCCUGAUGAGGUUCGCAAGCGUGCUAUGGCAGAUCCGGAAAUCCAAGCUAUUCUUAGAGACCCAGCUAUGAGAUUAAUCCUGCAACAAAUGCAAAAUGAUCCAAAGGCCCUGAAUGAUCAUUUGAAGAAUCCUGACAUUGCAGCUAAAAUUCAGAAGCUAUUGGAGUCUGGUUUGAUUGCUAUCCACUAAAACCCUCCCCCUUUCCACCUGUGAUCAUCAUUAGGAAAUUCAUUGUUCCAGAAAACAUUCAUUGCCACACAUCCAUUUUCUUAGUCUAUUUGUUCUGGACUAGGAGGUGGUUUGGAUCUUCAAGAGCAUCUUGUGCCCUCUCUGCGGCAAUGCGAGCAUGGUCUGCUGCGAUUCGAGCAAAGAGAUCAUGGUGUCGCUGCUUGGCUGCUGCUACUGUUGGUGUAUCCCGCACGGGGUCACUCAGUUGGGCAUGGAAGCCAUGGGCAUCAGCCACAUAGUCGACUGUUCGCACCUUGAAGCGGGGAUCCACAUAAGAAUACUGACCUAGUGGUGAACAUAAAAGUAACGUUAUGUACUCAGUAUAAAUCACAACUUAAUUAUUUGAGUUAUCAAAUUAAAUUAUCUCUUCAAAACUUGUAUUUUUGUAAGCUUUUAUCAAUGCCAUAGAGGCACUCAUCUUUCUUGGCUAAUAACAAUGGUAUCUUUUCUGUAGUAACCCUCUCAAAUAAAGAGAAAAAGCUUAAA